CCGACCUUAGCUCAGUUGGUAGAGCGGAGGACUGUAGUUGGUUAAUCAUUAUCAUCAGAUAUCCUUAGGUCGCUGGUUCGAAUCCGGCAGGUCGGA
rnacentral:tRNA from 1 species